UGCCAGCCGCCGCGGUAAUACGUAGGUGGCAAGCGUUGUCCGGAUUUACUGGGCGUAAAGGGAGCGUAGGCGGAUACUUAAGUGGGAUGUGAAAUACCUGGGCUUAACUUGGGUGCUGCAUUCCAAACUGGGUGUCUAGAGUGUUGGAGAGGAAAGUGGAAUUCCUAGUGUAGCGGUGAAAUGCGUAGAGAUUAGGAAGAACACCAGUGGCGAAGGCGACUUUCUGGACAAUAACUGACGCUGAGGCUCGAAGGCGUGGGGAGCAAACAGGAUUAGAUACCCUGGUAGUCCACGCCGUAAACGAUGGGUACUAGGUGUA
rnacentral:rRNA from 1 species